rnacentral:rRNA from 1 species
AGUCGAACGCUUCUUUUUCCACCGGAGCUUGCUCCACCGGAAAAAGAGGAGUGGCGAACGGGUGAGUAACACGUGGGUAACCUGCCCAUCAGAAGGGGAUAACACUUGGAAACAGGUGCUAAUACCGUAUAACAAUCAAAACCGCAUGGUUUUGAUUUGAAAGGCGCUUUCGGGUGUCGCUGAUGGAUGGACCCGCGGUGCAUUAGCUAGUUGGUGAGGUAACGGCUCACCAAGGCCACGAUGCAUAGCCGACCUGAGAGGGUGAUCGGCCACAUUGGGACUGAGACACGGCCCAAACUCCUACGGGAGGCAGCAGUAGGGAAUCUUCGGCAAUGGACGAAAGUCUGACCGAGCAACGCCGCGUGAGUGAAGAAGGUUUUCGGAUCGUAAAACUCUGUUGUUAGAGAAGAACAAGGAUGAGAGUAACUGUUCAUCCCUUGACGGUAUCUAACCAGAAAGCCACGGCUAACUACGUGCCAGCAGCCGCGGUAAUACGUAGGUGGCAAGCGUUGUCCGGAUUUAUUGGGCGUAAAGCGAGCGCAGGCGGUUUCUUAAGUCUGAUGUGAAAGCCCCCGGCUCAACCGGGGAGGGUCAUUGGAAACUGGGAGACUUGAGUGCAGAAGAGGAGAGUGGAAUUCCAUGUGUAGCGGUGAAAUGCGUAGAUAUAUGGAGGAACACCAGUGGCGAAGGCGGCUCUCUGGUCUGUAACUGACGCUGAGGCUCGAAAGCGUGGGGAGCAAACAGGAUUAGAUACCCUGGUAGUCCACGCCGUAAACGAUGAGUGCUAAGUGUUGGAGGGUUUCCGCCCUUCAGUGCUGCAGCUAACGCAUUAAGCACUCCGCCUGGGGGAGUACGACCGCAAGGUUGAAACUCAAAGGAAUUGACGGGGGCCCGCACAAGCGGUGGAGCAUGUGGUUUAAUUCGAAGCAACGCGGAAAAACCUUACCAGGUCUUGACAUCCUUUGACCACUCUAGAAGAUAGAGCUUCCCCUUCGGGGGCAAAGUGACAGGUGGUGCAUGGUUGUCGUCAGCUCGUGUCGUG